AGAAUCAACGCUGGCGGCGUGCCUAACACAUGCAAGUCGAACGAGAAAGUGGAGCAAUCCAUGAGUAAAGUGGCGCACGGGUGAGUAACACGUGACUAACCUACCCUUGAGUGGGGGAUAACCUAGAGAAAUCUGGGCUAAUACCGCAUAAUACCUUCGGGUCAAAGGAGCAAUUCGCUUAAGGAGGGGGUCGCGGCCGAUUAGUUAGUUGGCGGGGUAAUGGCCCACCAAGACUAUGAUCGGUAUCCGGCCUGAGAGGGCGCACGGACACACUGGAACUGAAACACGGUCCAGACUCCUACGGGAGGCAGCAGUGGGGAAUUUUGCGCAAUGGGGGAAACCCUGACGCAGCAACGCCGCGUGGAGGAUGAAGUCCCGUUGGGACGUAAACUCCUUUCGAUCGGGACGAUAAUGACGGUACCGAGAGAAGAAGCCCCGGCUAACUUCGUGCCAGCAGCCGC
rnacentral:rRNA from 1 species